rnacentral:tRNA from 1 species
UCCCUGGUGGUCCAGUGGUUAGGACUCUGAGCUCUCACUACCAAGGGCCUGGGUUCAAUCCCCAGUCAGAGAA